rnacentral:rRNA from 1 species
AUUGAACGCUGGCGGCAUGCCUUACACAUGCAAGUCGAACGGCAGCACGGGUGCUUGCACCUGGUGGCGAGUGGCGAACGGGUGAGUAAUACAUCGGAACAUGUCCUGUAGUGGGGGAUAGCCCGGCGAAAGCCGGAUUAAUACCGCAUACGAUCCACGGAUGAAAGCGGGGGACCUUCGGGCCUCGCGCUAUAGGGUUGGCCGAUGGCUGAUUAGCUAGUUGGUGGGGUAAAGGCCUACCAAGGCGACGAUCAGUAGCUGGUCUGAGAGGACGACCAGCCACACUGGGACUGAGACACGGCCCAGACUCCUACGGGAGGCAGCAGUGGGGAAUUUUGGACAAGGGGCGAAAGCCUGAUCCAGCAAUGCCGCGUGUGUGAAGAAGGCCUUCGGGUGGUAAAGCACUUUUGUCCGGAAAGAAAUCCUUGACUCUAAUACAGUCGGGGGAUGACGGUACCGGAAGAAUAAGCACCGGCUAACUACGU